UCUAAUGUGACAGAUAAAUGUACUAAAUUUAAGAUUUAAUUAUGAAAAUUAUUCCUUUAGAA
rnacentral:tRNA from 1 species